GUUUGUUGACAUCAGACUGAGACAGAGAGAAAAAAACACGAUAAAAGGUUUAAUAAAACUAAGUUCAGGGUGAGAACAGGAUCAGCUUUACAUUCAACAUGUUGCUGCUGGUGUUUGUAGUUCUUCUGGGGACAGUAGUGACGGUAAACAGCGCUCAACCUCAGGUGGAGCUGGAUUCAGGUAACAUCAAUGAUGUUGACAUGAUGUUAACAUGUAGAGCCAGAGGCUUCAACACAUCCAACAUCAUCCUGAACAUCAAGAAGAAUCACUGUGUUCUGACUAAAGAGGACAAAGUGGAGACUUCAGGAGUUAAAACACAUGGUGACACCUACUGGAGAAGAGACAAUGUGAUCAUUUUAAAGUCUGAAGUGUCUAAUUACAGCUGUGAAGUUGUUCAUGCUGCAUCCAGGUUUCGUGUUGAGAAGUUUUGGGAUCCUGACUCUGUUGGAGGACGGAUCAUUUCAUCUAAGCUCAAAGACACAAAUAAACCUGAUGUGAAGAUGUUUGCAGAGAACUCUGAAGUUCAGACCAACAUCAUUGUGACGUGUCUGGUCUCAGGCUUCUACCCAAACAAAAUCAUCCUGAUUAUAAAGAGGAACGGCCGUAUUCUAACCAGAGAGGACGGAGUGAAGAGUUCAGGAGUUUGUUCAGAAGACGGCACCUUCCAGAGAAGAGACUCUGUGGAGAUUAAAACAUCAGACACGUCUCAUUUCAGCUGUGAAGUCGUUCAUGAUGCAUCUGGUUCACAUGUUGAGAAGUUUUGGGAUCAUCAGCUUCUUCCUUCUCCUCACUCUGGUGGAGACAACACUGCUGCCAUCAUUGCUGCUGUGACGGGAGUCCUGCUCCUGGUCCUGGCUGUAGUUGUGGUUGUGGUGCUGGUGGUACUGAGGAGACGACGCAUCCUUGGUAGGUUCAGUGUUGUGUAUCUUCACUGUGUUCAACAACAUCAAUGAUUGUAGGUCCUGUAAUCCAGAGUUGUCUGUAGUGUAUUUACACCAAGAUUCCACAGAAUCUUUUCCUCCAGAAGAACAAUGGAGUGAGUCUGUUAUCAGAGCUCUGUUAUUAUUGGACUGUGGACAAGUACAAGUCCUUCAAUACAACAACUUCUACCAUCAACCAUCACUUCAUUCUCUCUGUUUGUUUACAGGAGCUGGUACUAAUGAUGAUGCAAAAGGUACGUCCUCUCUGUCCUUUCUGUCCAUUCUGUCCAUUCUGUCCUUUCUUCUCUAAAUGUUGUGUGUGUGUUGGUGUCUGUGCAGGACUGAUUUAAAACAUGUGGCUGAUGUUAUUCUGGAUUUUUCUCUCCACCAUCAAACUAACAAUGUGUUGUCUGGACUCUCCUCCUGAUCCAGACACAUUUACUAGAUCGGUAGCAGCUUAAACAUCAGUCCAGUGUCCUUUCCUCAGAGAAAGUGUUGAUGCUGCCUUUUGUACUAAUCCAGAGUUAUGAGAUGAUCAGACACUCAGACGUGGACACUGGACAGAGGAGUCACUGAGUCAGUUUAAGAGUCAAGUGGAUGUUUCUAUCAGCAGAUAUCCAACACUGAAUGUGUUCUGACAUUUACUGACAAUAAAAUACUGAAUGCUGACCUGAUCCUUCAAGUUAGUCCUGCACAGGCUGCAGCGUUUUACAACCAACUUCACACACUGUUGUAGAAACAUGAGACUGGAGGAAAUAACUCACUUCAUCUUCAUCUUUAUUUACAGAGAUGCAAAUGCAGGCUAUGGCUUCUAGACAAGGUCAGUGUUUUAUUUCUCUGUUACUGAUUCAGUUGAAUUAUUUUAUCAGUGACAUGUUAUUAAUCCAGUUACAGUCCUGUAAAUGUCACCAUGUGAUGUUAGAACCAGAGUUAUCUUAAAGCUAAUUAACGCUAUUAAAACAGAUGAUCACAUUUAAAAGAAGUAGAAGUAAUUGGUUGAUGAAUUCAUUUGUCUGCAUUUUUGUAGGAAUGUGUUAUAUAAAUGAAGUUGUUUUUUUUUUUCCUGAAUUAAAUAGAGAAUUAAAAAUCUGAUUGGAAGGAAUAAAGCUCUGAAUAAAAGAUCUAGUUGCUGUUAUCAAUUCACUACAAACCAUGAAAUAAAUUUGUAAAAUAAUCAUAAAGCUCUAAUAUUUCCUCUGUGUGUUGGUGGUAACGAUGUGAACAAACCUCUCCUGGAUGGAACCAAAGAGUCUAAGUGGUCUCUGGACAGCGACAACAGCUUUGACUCUGGUGUUGCGUUCUCCCCCUGUUUCUAGUAGCCCUGACAGUGGCAACGAUGAGGCUGAGAAUUCCUGAACAGAAAUGAUCCAGCGAACGUCUGAAGUCUCCAGAAAUACUUCAUCAGAAACAUCAGGUCCAUCCAUCAGUGAGAAGGUGCUGAACCCCUCUGCUGCUUUACGCUUCACUCCACCACAUGUCAGAGGGCAGUUUAUACUUUAGAAAGCGUUCGUUACUUUAGUAAAUUAUGAUGGAUAAUUGAUAUGUCAGUAUUUAAUCCAGCUCCACAUUUGCAGAUAAACCCUUAAAUACUUGGUCUAAUAAUUUCAUCGUCUAAAUAGGUGAAUGGGUCAGAGACAAUUGCACUGGAUUAGUAUCAUCACAGGACAUACGUGUUACCAGAUAUAUGGUCAUUUGCUGUGUCAGUUUUACUUUUAGUUAGUUUUACAGACACAGACUCACAGACACUCUCCAGCAUUACUACAAAUCACUACAGGUCCCAGAUCAAACUAGUCCCAUGUGAAUAAGCACUUAUCUUCUUCUGUAUAUGUGACGCUGUGGCCUUCAUUUCCUCAAAACCUAAAAAUAGCCACAUGAACCACACCCCCAUUCAAUUAUGUAAAUCCAGAAACGCUGCUGUAGACGCUGAUCAGCCGUUACCACAAACAUUCAGUUACAAGGAACUCACAGUACAGGGUGGUGUUAAACGCACUGAAUAAAGCACUUUUUUACUUUUACUUUUUUACUUCUCAUUUUAACUGUUGUUAUGAAAGUUGAUGACAAUCCAUAUUUCUGUUUUCUGACUGUUUAUAAGUUGUUGAUGUUUGAGGGUCUGAUGCAUUAAUUAGUGUAGUAGAGAGUGUUACAGGAGGAGACUCUGGUGUUGGUGCAGGUGGUUGAGGAUGUUAGAGACCCACUCAGACUCUUUGUGGUCUGUCCCUGAGGAAACUGGACCCAGUGAGAAGUUGGAGUUGAGUUCCAGGGUUUUAGGAGGGAGUGAAGGAGGCCACAGCAUCCUCAGCCCCCAACACUGCUCCCUGUGGACAAACCAUGUAUAAGCUGUUAUAUCUGAAGGUCUGAUUUUAGAUUUGCUUGAUGUUUUUCUUUUUUAUCUCUUGUGUAUGUUUGGACUGUCUUAUACUACAACACUGUAAAUAUCUGCUUUUAUUGCUGUGUUUUAUUGUUAAUUUAAUUAUACUUUAUGACUAAAAAAUAAAUGUCUAAAUGUUACAAAAUGAGAGUCUGUCAUUGAGAUUAAACUCAACACGUCUCUUC